GCAACUAACCAGCGGCGGACUGGCAUUCGGGCAAUUGCCCUGUGGGCUGGUACCCAAAUUCAUCAGGCGACAGACGAAUGAAAGAUGAGUAAUAAAAAACAUCUAUAAGGUUACUGGUGAAUGAGGUCCAUUGAAAAAGACAGUCGACAGAUCAUGUGAGGUGCACCAACGGUCCAACAUGUGUAAUAUGCAGAUGUCUUCUUUUUAUGCAGUAACGUCUGUAUUUCAUAAGAUAAAAUACUGUUAUAAACCUGGUGGUGACACAAAUGGUCGUAGGCUGUGUGUGUUUUUAGCCUACGCAAAUCGCCCCAGUCCAGCGCUAGACGAGCGGUCAACCGUGACCAGUGACAGUACACGCCGGUUCGGCAAGAACCUGUGUGUAAAUAUUUCACACGCAAGUCACGGCGAAAGUGAUCAACUGGAGUGGUCAAGCGACGGUUCUAGAAGGCCAGUAGAGACACUAUAUAAGAGCGAGUGUGUCAAGACACUUCGUUACCUCGCAAUGUGACCAGUACGAGGCGAGAUCCAGCACGGUGUGUGAAGUCAGUGCGGAGCAGAGACUAGGUUUUUGUAAAGACAGUGUUAAUGUUGUUGCCAAUUGCGAUGUAUUUGACAUUAAACUGACUGAUACUUUG